ensembl:misc_RNA 7SK 7SK RNA
GGAUGUGAGGGAGAUCUGGCUGUGACAUCUGUCACCCCACUGAUGGCCAGGGUUGAUUUGGCUGAUCUGGCUGCCUAGGCAGAUGUCCCCUUCCUCCCUCACUCUUCCAUGUACGCCCCUCCCGAAGCUGUGUGCUCUGUUGAAGAGGACGGCCUUCCCCGAGUAGAGACCAACUGGUCUUCAGUCUGGUCUUCUGCUGUAUGAAUAGCUGCAUUCCCCUGCUAGAACCUCCAAACAAGCUCUCGAGAAUAUGUGGAGGGCUGGGCGGUAACGCAGCAAGCUAAUGGCAU